rnacentral:rRNA from 1 species
AUACGGAGGAUCCGAGCGUUAUCCGGAUUUAUUGGGUUUAAAGGGUGCGCAGGCGGGAGAUUAAGUCGGCGGUGAAAUUUUUCAGCUCAACUGUAAAAGUGCCUUCGAAACUGGGUUUCUUGAGUGUGGAUGAAGUAGGCGGAAUUUGUGGUGUAGCGGUGAAAUGCAUAGAUAUCACGAGGAACUCCGAUUGCGCAGGCAGCUUACUAAACCAUAACGGACGCUCAGGCACGAAGGCGUGGGGAUCAAACAGGAUUAGAUACCCUGGUAGUCCACGCAGUAAACGAUGAUUACUAGCUGUUUGCGAUACAAUGUAAGCGGCUGAGCGAAAGCGUUAAGUAAUCCACCUGGGGAGUACGUUCGCAAGAAUGAAACUCAAAGGAAUUGACGGGG